rnacentral:rRNA from 1 species
AAUAGAUACCCGGGUAGUCCACGCCGUAAACGAUGUCGACUUGGAGGUUGUUCCCUUGAGGAGUGGCUUCCGGAGCUAACGCGUUAAGUCGACCGCCUGGGGAGUACGGCCGCAAGGUUAAAACUCAAAUGAAUUGACGGGGGCCCGCACAAGCGGUGGAGCAUGUGGUUUAAUUCGAUGCAACGCGAAGAACCUUACCUACUCUUGACAUCCAGAGAACUUAGCAGAGAUGCUUUGGUGCCUUCGGGAACUCUGAGACAGGUGCUGCAUGGCUGUCGUCAGCUCGUGUUGUGAAAUGUUGGGUUAAGUCCCGCAACGAGCGCAACCCUUAUCCUUUGUUGCCAGCGGUUCGGCCGGGAACUCAAAGGAGACUGCCAGUGAUAAACUGGAGGAAGGUGGGAAUGACGUCAAGUCAUCAUGGCCCUUACGAGUAGGGCUACACACGUGCUACAAUGGCGUAUACAAAGAGAAGCGACCUCGCGAGAGCAAGCGGACCUCAUAAAGUACGUCGUAGUCCGGAUUGGAGU